rnacentral:rRNA from 1 species
UGGGGAAUAUUGGACAAUGGGCGAAAGCCUGAUCCAGCCAUGCCGCGUGAGUGAAGAAGGCCUUCGGGUUGUAAAGCUCUUUUAGUCGGAAAGAAAGAGUUGCAAUGAAUAAUUGUGAUUUAUGACGGUACCGACAGAAAAAGCACAGGCUAACUACGUGACGGCAGCCGCGGUAAUACGUAGGGUGCGAGCGUUAAUCGGAAUUACUGGGCGUAAAGGGUGCGCAGGCGGUCUUGCAAGUCAGAUGUGAAAGCCCCGGGCUUAACCGUGGAAUUGCGUUUGAAACUACAAGGCUAGAGUGCAGCAGAGGGGAGUGGAAUUCCAUGUGUAGCAGUGAAAUGCGUAGAGAUGUGGAAGAACACCGAUGGCGAAGGCAGCUCCCUGGGUUGACACUGACGCUCAUGCACGAAAGCGUGGGGAGCAAACA